rnacentral:rRNA from 1 species
CCAAAGCGGAAAAGAAAAUAACUAUGAUUCCCUUAGUAACGGCGAGUGAACAGGGAAAAGCCCAAAUUUGUAAUCUGGCACUUUUUACGAGUGUCCGAGUUGUAAUUUGUAGAAUCGUUAUCCGCGCUGGACCAUGUACAAGUCUGUUGAAAAGCAGCAUCAUUGAAGGUGAAAAUCCUGUAGAUGAUAUGGACUACCAGUGCAUUUGUGAUAUGAUUUCUAAGAGUCGAGUUGUUUGGGAAUGCAGCUCAAAGUGGGUGGUAAAUUCCAUCUAAGGCUAAAUAUAAGUGAGAGACCGAUAGCAAACAAGUACCGUGAGGGAAAGAUGAAAAGAACUUUGAAAAUAGAGUUAACAGUACGUGAAAUUGCUGAAAGGGAAACGUUUGAAGUUAGUAUUGUAUUCGUUGGAUCAGCUUCGCAAGGAGUGUAUUCUGAUGAUAAGCAAGUCAACAUCAAUCUUUGGGUGUUGGAUAAGGGUUUUGAGGACGUAGCAAUUUAAUUGUGUUAUAACUUGAGACUUGGAUACAAUGCUUGGGAUUGAGGAACGCGUAGUAAGCUUUGUGCUGGAUCAGAAAUGAUCUCCUUACUAUGGAUGUUG